GAUGAACGCUAGCGGCAGGCCUAAUACAUGCAAGUCGAGGGGCAACAGGUGUAGCAAUACAUGCUGGCGACCGGCGCACGGGUGCGUAACGCGUAUGCAAUCUACCUCUCACAGGGGCAUAGCCCGGAGAAAUCCGGAUUAAUACCCCAUAAUAAACCAAGGUAGCAUUACCUAGGUUUGUAAAGUACACAACGGUAAGAGAUGAGCAUGCGUAUGAUU
rnacentral:rRNA from 1 species